UACGAAGGGGGCUAGCGUUGUUCGGAAUUACUGGGCGUAAAGCGAGCGUAGGUUGCUCGACAAGUCAGUGGUGAAAGCCCAGAGCUCAACUCUGGAACUGCCAUUGAAACUGUCGAGCUGGAAUCUCAGAGGGGGUAGCGGAAUUCCAAAUGUAGGGGUGAAAUCCGUAGAUAUUUGGAGGAACACCGGUGGCGAAGGCGGCUCACUGGCUCAUUUCUGACGCUCAGGCGCGACAGCGUGGGGAUCAAACAGG
rnacentral:rRNA from 1 species